CGAAGGCUGUGAGACCCUCCUGGACACCAGCCAGACUUUUGUGAGAUGGGGCAUGGCACCCUGCCUCCCCCCAACAUCAAGUGAUAUUGACCUUUCCCUGAAGAGGCAGGAAUGAGAAAAUAAGACGAGAAGACCCUAUGGAGCUUCAAUUAAUUAAAAAAAAAACCAAAGCAUUCCUUACACUAAUUGAAUGAAAAGUAUUAGUUUAUAUAUGACUCUGUAAAGGACCACAUCAUUGGCCCCAUGAUCUGUGGAGACACCAGUAUUUACA